GGCUCAGGACGAACGCUGGCGGCGUGCUUAACACAUGCAAGUCGAACGAGGGUAGCAAUACCCGAGUGGCGGACGGGCGAGUAACGCGUAGGUAAUCUGCCCCUCGGUGGGGGACACCCAGUCGAAAGAUUGGCUAAUACCGCAUACGCUGGUCCUUUGAAACGGGGAUCAGGAAAGGUUUACUGCCGAGGGAUGAGCCUGCGUCCGAUUAGCUAGUUGGUGGGGUAACGGCCCACCAAGGCGACGAUCGGUAGCUGGUCUGAGAGGACGAUCAGCCACACUGGAACUGAGACACGGUCCAGACUCCUACGGGAGGCAGCAGUGGGGAAUUUUCCGCAAUGGGCGAAAGCCUGACGGAGCAACGCCGCGUGGAGGAUGACGUCUUUCGGGAUGUAAACUCCUUUCAGCAGGGACGAGCCGAAGACGGUACCUGCAGAAGAAGCAUCGGCUAACUACGUGCCAGCAGCCGCGGUAAGACGUAGGAUGCGAGCGUUGUCCGGAAUUAUUGGGCGUAAAGCGUACGUAGGCGGUCCCUUAAGUCUGGGGUUAAAGACCGAGGCUCAACCUCGGGAGUGCCUUGGAUACUGGGGGACUGGAGGACGGCAGAGGAAAGUGGAAUUCCCAGUGUAGCGGUGAAAUGCGUAGAUAUUGGGAGGAACACCAGUGGCGAAAGCGACUUUCUGGGCCGCACCUGACGCUGAGGUACGAAAGCCAGGGGAGCAAACGGGAUUAGAUACCCCGGUAGUCCUGGCCGUAAACGAUGGAUACUAGGUGUCAUUGGUAUCAACCCCGGUGGUGCCGUAGCUAACGCGUUAA
rnacentral:rRNA from 1 species